GACGAACGCUGGCGGCGUGCCUAAUACAUGCAAGUCGAGCGAACCAAUAAGAAGCUUGCUUUUUGUUGGUUAGCGGCGGACGGGUGAGUAACACGUGGGUAACCUGCCUGUAAGACCGGGAUAACUCCGGGAAACCGGUGCUAAUACCGGAUAGAUUAUCUUUCCGCAUGGAGAGAUAAGGAAAGAUGGCUAUUGCCAUCACUUACAGAUGGGCCCGCGGCGCAUUAGCUAGUUGGUGAGGUAACGGCUCACCAAGGCGACGAUGCGUAGCCGACCUGAGGGGGUGAUCGGCCACACUGGGACUGAGACACGGCCCAGACUCCUACGGGAGGCAGCAGUAGGGAAUCUUCCGCAAUGGACGAAAGUCUGACGGAGCAACGCCGCGUGAGCGAAGAAGGUCUUCGGAUCGUAAAGCUCUGUUGUUAGGGAAGAACAAGUAUCGGAGGAAAUGCCGGUACCUUGACGGUACCUGACGAGAAAGCCACGGCUAACUACGUG
rnacentral:rRNA from 1 species